GCCGAAGUGGCGGAAUGGCAGACGCAGCGGACUCAAAAUCCGCCGACCACAAAUCGUAUGGGUUCGACUCCCAUCUUCGGCA
rnacentral:tRNA from 1 species